GAUGAACGCUAGCGGCAGGCCUAACACACGCAAGUCGAGGGGCAGCACAGAAACAGCAAUGUUUUGGUGGCGACCGGCGGACGGGUGCGUAACGCGUAUGCAACCUACCUUUAACAGGGGGAUAACGGAGAGAAAUUUCCACUAAUACCCCAUAACAUCGAUCAAGGCAUCUUGAUUGGUUGAAAACUCCGGUGGUUAAAGAUGGGCAUGCGUUGCAUUAGGUAGUUGGUGAGGUAAUGGCUCACCAAGCCUACGAUACAUAGGGGGACUGAGAGGUUAGCCCCCCACACUGGUACUGAGACACGGACCAGACUCCUACGGGAGGCAGCAGUGAGGAAUAUUGGUCAAUGGGGGCAACCCUGAACCAGCCAUGCCGCGUGCAGGAAGACGGCUCUAUGAGUUGUAAACUGCUUUUAAACAGGGAUAAAGCACAGUAUGUAUACUGUGUUGAAGGUACUGUAAGAAUAAGGAUCGGCUAACUCCGUGCCAGCAGCCGCGGUAA
rnacentral:rRNA from 1 species